UACGGAGGAUGCGAGCGUUAUCCGGAGUUAUUGGGUUUAAAGGGUGCGUAGGCGGAUCGUUAAGUCAGUGGUCAAAUUGAGGGGCUCAACCCCUUCCCGCCAUUGAAACUGGCGAUCUUGAGUGGAAGAGAAGUAUGCGGAAUGCGUGGUGUAGCGGUGAAAUGCAUAGAUAUCACGCAGAACCCCGAUUGCGAAGGCAGCAUGCCGGCUUCCUACUGACGCUGAAGCACGAAAGCGUGGGGAUCGAACAGG
rnacentral:rRNA from 1 species